CCCUUAGAUGUUCUGGGCCGCACGCGUGCUACACUGAGUGGAUCAGCGGGUCAGGUUGAGCGAAAGUGUUUCCUAAUCUUGAAAUCCGCUCGUGAUGGGGAUUGACGGUUGCAAUUUUCCGUCAUGAACGAGGAAUACCUUGUAAGCGCGGGUCAUCAUCCCGCGCUGAAUACGUCCCUGCCCUUUGUACACACCGCCCGUCGCUCCUACCGAUUGAGUGGUCCGGUGAGGCUUUGGGAUCUGAGCGGAAAGAGCGUUUCGCUGUUUCUGCUCGGAAAACUCAGUCGAACCUUAUCAUUUAGAGGAAGGAGAAGUCGUAACA
rnacentral:rRNA from 1 species